rnacentral:tRNA from 1 species
GUGGAUGUGGCGUAAUUGGUAGCCGCGCCGGAAUGUGAGUCCGGUGCCCGGAAGGGCGUGGGGGUUCGAUUCCCCUCAUUCACC